GAUGACGUCAAAAUGUUGCAGCCCACCAUUUUGACUGUCAGUGUUUCUGCUCACUGUCCAGGAGAGCUGUGUCCAUGGCGAAAUAAGGUGGAAGUAUCUGAACAUUCAAGCCUCGACAGCCUUCCGUCUCGUCUCGGGUACCGGCAACCUUCCCCAGGCCACACUCCGAUCCACCCAACCGUUUCAUUUUUGCUCCACGUGACAACGACAGAUGCCGCGGAAGAAGAAGCCAGCUACCCGGCAGAUCUGGGCUCCGUUCCGAGAAUUCUGGAAAAUGUGUUCUCAAGUGCAAACAGCGUGCUGCCGCUGGUGCUCCAAGAAUUAUAUGACCAUCAUUAUGAUCAUAGUUCAUACCUUCGACAUGACAUUACUAUUUCUACGCAAUAUGUCUUACUUUUACUCGGCCAGAAAUGAUCGCGGUUUAGUAACCGCGGACGAUGAACAAGGAGCCGAAUCUAAAAAUUACAAGCCUGUCACUAAACGGCGACAAUACAAACGUUGAGAGAAAAUUGUUGAAAAUCUUAUCCUUUCUCAGGGUACCCACGUGCACAUAGGACUUGGAAACAGCCAGAGAAAGAACAUUUGGACGAAGGGGAAGAGGGCAUAAGGGAAGUAGAACAGCCAGGACGUGAGCUUUUGCCGGAACGCUCGAGAUCGCGAAGAACGAGGUCGAGGCCGUCAACUCCUCUAGUCCUUGGUUCAAGAGAGAUUCUUCUGAACGUGCACCAAAACGAUUGGACGUUUUCCGGCAGCACCGGGUCAAGGGUUGUCUUCAACGUGGAUGAGGGAACAGGAGGCGAGGAAGGAGAUGGACUUUGGGAGGGAGGAAGGGCAACGGGGUGAUUCUGGUUUAACAGAAUCUCUCGCAGAUGAAUUGGACGCCAGAGAAAAGGGGAAUAGCAACCAGACAGACCGAUCUCACAAGCCCAGGUCUAGUCCAGACAAACGUGUUUUGGAAUUUCCUGUGACAAACAAUUAAAGACCUUCCGCCCGCGUAAGAUAUGCAUCUAUCUGAGAUCUGGUCAGCAUGUAUGUAUUAACGUGUGAAAACGUUAAGGUCGAGUUACAGUCACCAUGAGAUCGAGUUUGGAACAGUUGUAUGUGAAGCCAAAGAUGUGUCAGAAGAGCAUAUAUCUAUGGCAACACACACACCCACACACAUGCACACGCAGAUAUGUAUGCAAGCACACACUCAUACUCAAAAAGGCACACACAUACUCGCGGGAAAUGACCCUAAUAGCGAACAACGUCCUAUACGAUGUAUCUGGAUCGUAGUCUUCAUUAAAUCCUGCUUUCGAAAGCGCCAGAUAAUAAGGAUUUCGAUGUGCAGUUACAUUUUAUAAUCCUCAACUGGAGCACCUGAAAGACAGGCAAAUUUCUUUCUGAAUUUUCUUUUUCUACUUUGCCUUGUUCACUGUAUAUCAAAUGUACAUUUUGCUACCUUCUAAGGAAAUACACUUUAUCAACCUGACGAGACGAAUACAAAGUCGGCUGCAGAAAUCUUCCACAACUCGGAGAACUCUUAGAAGAUGUAAAUUUUGCUGUAUCAAAAGCUGUUAGCAUUACAUAUUUGAUAACCUAUAUUCAUGUUUAGUGUCCAGAGAGUUCGUUUCACUGUGAAAUAAG
rnacentral:misc_RNA from 1 species